rnacentral:rRNA from 1 species
CAGUCGCCACGGGAAUACGUAGGUGGCAAGCGUUGUCCGGAAUUAUUGGGCGUAAAGGGCUCGCAGGCGGUUUCUUAAGUCUGAUGUGAAAGCCCCCGGCUCAACCGGGGAGGGUCAUUGGAAACUGGGAAACUUGAGUGCAGAAGAGGAGAGUGGAAUUCCACGUGUAGCGGUGAAAUGCGUAGAGAUGUGGAGGAACACCAGUGGCGAAGGCGACUCUCUGGUCUGUAACUGACGCUGAGGAGCGAAAGCGUGGGGAGCGAACAGGAUUAGAUACCCCUGUAGUCCCUGUCUAUUAUAC